AAAUCCAAGAAUUUCACCUCUGACAGUCAAAUGCGAAUGCCCCCAACUAUCCCUAUUUAUCAUCAUCACAGCUCUAGAAGCCAACAAAAUAGUGCCACGAUCCUAUCUUAUUAUUCCAUGCUAAAGUAUUCAAGGCAGAAGCCUGCUUGAAGCACUCUAAUUUCCUCAAAGUAAAUGCCCAGGCAACCACACCACACAGUCAAGUGCAGCUGUGCUCGCCAAGAAGAUGCCCAGGGCAAGCCAGGUACUCGCCCAGAGGGCAGACCAGUUGUCCUUGGCAGAGGUCCAACUACGAGCGUUUCAACCGCAACAACUUUAAUAUACGCUAUUGGAGCUGGAAUUACCGC
rnacentral:misc_RNA from 1 species